rnacentral:rRNA from 1 species
CGGGACGGGUGAGUAAUGUCUGGGAAACUGCCUGAUGGAGGGGGAUAACUACUGGAAACGGUAGCUAAUACCGCAUAACGUCGCAAGACCAAAGAGGGGGACCUUCGGGCCUCUUGCCAUCGGAUGUGCCCAGAUGGGAUUAGCUAGUAGGUGGGGUAACGGCUCACCUAGGCGACGAUCCCUAGCUGGUCUGAGAGGAUGACAGCCACACUGGAACUGAGACACGGUCCAG